AUUGAACGCUGGCGGCAGGCCUAACACAUGCAAGUCGAGCGAGCGGCGGACGGGUGAGUAAUGCCUAGGAAUCUGCCUGCUGGAGGGGGAUAACUACUGGAAACGGUAGCUAUUACCGCAUACGUUCAGAUUUGCCUAGCUGGCAUUAGCUUGUUGGUGGGGUAACGGCUCACCAAGGCGACGAGCCCUAGCUGGUCUGAGAGGAUGACAAGCCACACUGGAACGGAGACAGGGUCCAGACUCCUACGGGAGGCAGCAGUGGGGAAUAUGGCACAAUGGGCGAAAGCCUGAUGCAGCCAUGCCGCGUGUAUGAAGAAGGCCUUCGGGUUGUAAAGUACUUUCAGCGGGGAGGCGUUACCCGCAGAAGAAGCACCGGCUAACUCCGUGCCAGCAGCCGCGGUAAUAC
rnacentral:rRNA from 1 species